UACGUAGGGGGCGAGCGUUGUCCGGAAUCAUUGGGCGUAAAGGGCGCGUAGGCGGGCGAUCAAGUCAGGGGUGAAAUCCCGCAGCUCAACUGCGGAAGUGCCUUUGAUACUGGUUGUCUCGAGGGAGAUAGGGGCAUGCGGAACUUCCGGUGGAGCGGUGAAAUGCGUAGAUAUCGGAAGGAACGCCGAUGGCGAAAGCAGCGUGCUGGAUCUCUUCUGACGCUGAGGCGCGAAAGCUAGGGGAGCAAACGGG
rnacentral:rRNA from 1 species